rnacentral:misc_RNA from 1 species
UCACACUAUCAAGCUUGGCUUGUUGUUGGGCCCUUUGUCACCUGGUGACAGGUCCAAAAGACAAUAACCGGUGUCAUACACACUCUAUAUGCAACGAGCUUAUCACAGCACGCAUCUGGCAGUCGUGUGGCCCGGUUUUUAAAUAUAUUUCUCAA